rnacentral:rRNA from 1 species
UGGGGAAUAUUGCACAAUGGAGGGAACUCUGAUGCAGCAACGCCGCGUGCGGGAUGACGGCCUUCGGGUUGUAAACCGCUUUCAGCCAUGACGAAGCUUUUGUGACGGUAGUGGUAGAAGAAGCACCGGCUAACUACGUGCCAGCAGCCGCGGUGAUACGCAGGGUGCGAGCGUUGUCCGGAAUUAUUGGGCGUAAAGAGCUUGUAGGCGGUUUGUCGCGUCGUUAGUGUAAACACGCAGCUUAACUGUGUGCCUGCUGUCGAUACGGGCUGGCUAGAGGAGGGUAGGGGAGAAUGGAAUUCCCGGUGGAGCGGUGGAAUGCGCAGAUAUCGGGAGGAACACCAGUGGCGAAGGCGGUUCUCUGGACCUUUCCUGACGCUGAGAAGCGAAAGCGUGGGUAGCAAACAGG